AAUGAACGUUGGUGGCGUGGAUUAGGCAUGCAAGUCGUGCGAGAAGGUGGCUUCGGCCACCGGACAGCGGCGAACGGGGUAGUAAGGCGUCGGAAUGUACCCACAGGUCUGGGAUAGCGGCGGGAAACUGCCGGUAAUACCGGAUGACCUCUUUGGAGCAAAGGUGUGACUCCGCCUGUGGAGCAGCCGACGUGAUACCAGCUAGUUGGUGAGGUAAUGGCUCACCAAGGCUCAGACGUCUAGGGGGUGUGAGAGCAUGGCCCCCACCACUGGGACUGAGACACUGCCCAGACACCUACGGGUGGCUGCAGUCGAGAAUCUUCGGCAAUGGGCGCAAGCCUGACCGAGCGACGCCACGUGCGGGAUGACGGCCCUCGGGUUGUAAACCGCUGUCGAGGGGGAUGAAGUCACGUGAGGCAAUCCUCAUGUGUUGACAGAGCCCUGGAGGAAGCGCGGGCUAAGUACGUGCCAGCAGCCGCGGUAAUAC
rnacentral:rRNA from 1 species